UCUCCGUAGGUGAACCUGCGGAGGGAUCAUUACUGAGUGAGGGUCUCCGGGCCCGACCUCCAACCCUUUUGUGAACCACCUCGUUGCUUCGGGGGCGACCCUGCCGUUCGCGGCGUGGGGCCCCCGGAGGUCUUCUAAACACUGCAUCUUUGCGUCGGAGUUUAAACAAAUUAAACAAAACUUUCAACAACGGAUCUCUUGGUUCUGGCAUCGAUGAAGAACGCAGC
rnacentral:misc_RNA from 1 species